GACGAACGCUGGCGGCGUGCUUAACACAUGCAAGUCGAACGGAAAGGCCCCUCUGGGGGUACUCGAGUGCCGAACGGGUGAGUAACACGUGAGUAACCUGCCCUUGACUUCGGGAUAACUUCAGGAAACUGGGGCUAAUACCGGAUAGGAAUCCUUGCUGCAUGGUGGGGGUUGGAAAGCUUCGGCGGUUUUGGAUGGACUCGCGGCUUAUCAGCUUGUUGGUGGGGUAGUGGCUUACCAAGGCUUUGACCGGUAGCCGGCCUGAGAGGGCGACCGGCCACAUUGGGACUGAGAUACGGCCCAGACGCCGACGGGAGGCAGUAGGGGGGAAUAUUGCACAAUGGGCGGAGGCCUGAUGCAGCAACGCCGCGUGCGGGAUGACGGCCUUCGGGUUGUAAACCGCUUUCAGCAGGGGCGAAGCUUGUGGUGACGGUACCUGCAGAAGAAGCACCGGCUAACUACGUG
rnacentral:rRNA from 1 species